AAGGGUGGAAUUCAACCACUAGCUCUGUCCUGUAUUAACUGUGCUUCCUUGAACAAGCUGCGGAGUGUCUCUUGGGUCCCUCAUGCAGAACGGGGAAAAUCACGCACACCUUGCAGAUCGGUGACUUUGUGGCUCUUCGAGAACUUUGGAAAGGCUACUCUGAGUAGACGGAUAUCCUUCAGAGCAAGAGCCGUUUUCCACGUGUUUUCUCAACGAGAGACACACACAAACCCACCUGGAAAUCUCAAGAGCUUUAGCCCAGGACUCCCACGUCCACCCUCCACAACAGACAGCAAUUCCAGGAUCCUUUUAAACCCACUGAAGCACACAGCGGAUGGCAAACACAGCUUCGCAGGACUUGAAUGCGACAGAACUUCCAAAGGGAAAUCCAACAUCAGCGUCCCUCUCGGCCCAGUGAGCUCCGCAGCGAGGCCAGUGCGGGGUGAAGGAGGAGGAGAGCUUUAUCAUCCUCGAGUUCUGAAGGACGCUGUCCUGCCUCGGGCUGGCUGCUGUGAGCCUGUCUGAAAUUCAAGUCCAAGUGAGGGUCUGUUUGGUUCAGCUGCAGAGAGACAGAGGUUGCUGCAGGUAGGAAUUUGAAAGAGUUAUCAAGGGCCCUGGCACAACAUCAGCCAUGCUGCCAGUUGUUACUUUCCCACAAAGGGACUAGCUGUAAGAGCUUGAUAAAAUCAGGAAUCAGAUCUCAAGAUAAGAGUCUCUUUUCAAGUGCUUGAUUUCCAAAUACAAGCAAAUCCUUCCCUGCCUGUCCCUGGGACCAAGAGAAGUGAGACGCUCCUGGGCUGUCUUCUCACAGGGCACAUGGGGCUGCAAGGGGAUCAGGGGCCCUGCAUUGGCACAAGGGUGGCUGGUGCCCCUGGGUGAAUGGGGGCUGUACCCAGGCUCUAUUCGAAGUGCUUUCGUGGCUGUACCUCAUGUCAUGCUCCAAGAACCACGAGGUGUUAACAGACGGCACCCGGGGAAGACAGAGUUAAGUAAUUCUGCCAGGCUUGCAGAGCUCUGAACAAUGGAGCUAGAAUUUGAAGCUAGACGGUCUGGUCCUGUGCAUGCCCUUAUUACAACUCAAGGCUGUUCGUCUUUGACAGUACUCAAAGCAAAGAGCAGGCCAUAAACCGCACGGGACCGUCUGUACGUUGAAGAUAUACUGCCCGCAGAGCAUUCCGGCUCCCUCUGCCUCCCCAGCUACAAUAGCCAUGCUGGUCCGUGGUGUGUCGGGCUAGGUUACCUCCAUCUGCUCUUCAGCAUGACCAGGUCAUGGCCAAAGGCACGUCUUGCCUGCUUUCCCACAUUCCCGCGGUGGGCUGGCAGGUUGCAGGCUGCUGUCAGGCUCCUGUACGCUUUGCAUAAGCAAAUGAGCUCUUGGAGGUCACCUAGGAACUAACAGCACUGAUUAAUUCAACAUUCACUCGUUCCUUCAACAAACAAGGGCUGUUUAGUUAGAAGAAUGGGCCAGGCACUCGCUGCUCGCCUCGGUCAGCUUUGAUGAUUCUGAGCACAGACGCCGUGUGCUGGGGACACACCCUGGGACGUUACUGUGUCCGUUCGCGUGUGCCCACAGGGAUGCCAUAUUUACUCACAUGAGGGGACAUUUGAUUUCUCCUUGCUCUUAAGACAAAUUGUAGGUGCCUUCUGCGCACCCUCUCCUGGCUUCCGUCACCUAGCUAGUCUAUGCACCUGCAAGGACCGCGUCGCCAGACUCCCCAGACCAGCUCAGGCUCACACGACCGAGGCCAUAGUGUCACGGCAAGGGACUCAUCUCCUUCACACCGUGAUCACAUUUGUGAUUAACUCAGAGGGGUAUUUGUUUGGGACCUAUUUCCAUGGAGAGACCGUGAGCUCCAUGAGAAGAAAGAGACCCAUCUGUUCCGAGCUGUGCCACUGGAACCAAGCCCGCCAUGCAGCCUCCCAUCAGCCUACUGCAAGCCUGAGCAGGUGAGAAGGCGAGGUGGCCCACUACCAGGGAGGAGUGUGACUUACAAACUACGGUCUUUAGCACAUAAUUCUACUCGUCCAAUCAACCUUGGCCCAGGAAGAUAAAAGUCCAAAGAACCUCCUUGCUCAUCCCAGGAACUUUCUGAAAGAUCCAUCAACACUUGGACAGAAAGCAUCAGAUGAUGGCUUUCACCUGCAGGAGCCAAAGGAACACGGCCUCUGCCUGGGAAGGUUUGGAAAUUGAGCCCCGUGAAAUGACGGAGAGUUGGCAGAUGGGCAGAAGAGGCACAGGUGUCCAUCCUGAGCAGGGGCACCCAUCGGGAAGUGAGCGGGCACAUUCGUAAGCUUGGGUGCCCUCUCCACAGGCCAGAGGGAAGAGGGAGGACCCAGCACUGUGGGCAGGUGGUGUGCCUGGCCCUGGUGUCCACUGUGGACCUUUCCCUGGGCUCCUCUUUUGGAGGAACCGCCCUCGGGUGGAACACGGAGAAAGUCCUUCCCUGGGCCUCAGGGGAGAGUGAGGGAGGAGAGACCAGGAAAGGAGGGAGACAGGCUCAGGGUUCUUGGCCCUGGGUCUGCUUCUUAGAAGCACUCAGCUGCCCAAGCACCACACUUUGGGGUGUUCCAUUCUGAGCCCCUAGACAUCACCAACUCCUCUUCCCGACACCGCUGGCUUGCUCCGGCCACUACUCCCCGAUUCUUACACUGCAAUCCUUCUCCAAACCCAGGGAGCGCCUGCAUGGGGCAUCCACUUCGUGACUUCCUUCCAAAACUCAGUACGUAUGGUGACUUUGUCCCCCGAGACAGCAGGCUGAGACAGGAUUCCCCGGAAGCUCAGGUAGG